rnacentral:rRNA from 1 species
AAACCGGAGCUAAUACCGGAUAAUAUUUUGAACCGCAUGGUUCAAAAGUGAAAGACGGUCAUGCUGUCACUUAUAGAUGGAUCCGCGCUGCAUUAGCUAGUUGGUAAGGUAACGGCUAACCAAGGCAACGAUGCAUAGCCGACCUGAGAGGGUGAUCGGCCACACUGGAACUGAGACACGGUCCAGACUCCUACUGGAGGCAGCAGUAGGGAAUCUUCCGCAAUGGGCGAAAGCCUGACGGAGCAACGCCGCGUGAGUGAUGAAGGUCUU